GAUGAACGCUGGCGGCGUGCCUAACACAUGCAAGUCGAACGCUGAAGCUGGGCGCUUGCUCUUUCCUGGUGAGUUGCGAACGGGUGAGUAACGCGUAGGUAACCUGCCUGCUAGCGGGGGAUAACUAUUAGAAACGAUCGCUAAUACCGCAUAACAGUAGAUGUUGCAUGAUAUCUACUUAAAAGGUGCAAUUGCACAACUACCAGAUGGACCUGCGUUGUAUUAGUUAGUUGGUGAGGUAACGGCUCACCAAGGCGACGAUACAGAGCCGACCUGAGAGGGUGAUCGGCCACACUGAGACUGAGACACGGCCCAGACUCCCACGGGAGGCGGCAGGAGGGAAUCUGGGGCAAGAGAUGGAAGACUGACCGAGCGGCGCCGCAGGAGUGAAGAAGGUUGUCGGGUCGUAAAGAUCUGUUGUGAGGGAAGAACGAGUGUGAGAGUGGAAAGUUCACACUGUGACGGUAUCUUGGCAAAAAGCGACGGCUAACUACGUG
rnacentral:rRNA from 1 species